rnacentral:rRNA from 1 species
AUUGAACGCUGGCGGCAGGCCUAACACAUGCAAGUCGAACGAGUGGCGGACGGGUGAGUAAUGUCUGGGAAACUGCCUGAUGGAGGGGGAUAACUCCUGGAAACGGUAGCUAAUACCGCAUACCAUCGGAUGUGCCCAGUUGGGAUUAGCUAGUAGGUGGGGUAAAGGCUCACCUAGGCGACGAUCCCUAGCUGGUCUGAGAGGAUGACCAGCCAAACUGGAACGGAGACACGGUCCAGACUCCGACGGGAGGCAGCAGUGGGGAAUAGUGCACAAUGGGCGCAAGCCUGAUGAAGCCAUGCCGGGUGUAUGAAGAAGGCCUGCGGGUUGUAAAGGACUUUCAGCGGGGAGGCGUUACCAGCAGAAGAAGCACCGGCUAACUCCGUGCCAGCAGCCGCGGUAAUUC